rnacentral:lncRNA from 1 species
ACUGCAUGAAAUAAUGAAGGCGAAUUGGUAUAUAUAUCUGUAUGUCUGAAAUUAAAUGAAGAAACUAAAAAUAAAAAUAAAUCAAUCUUGAAAAAAUGGAAAAAGAUUAGUCAAGUUUUUAGAAACUGCAAAUUGCUUUCAUGAGUAAAACUGACAGAAAAAAAAAGGUCUAUAAUUAUAAAAGAAUGUGAAGUACUGGAAUUCAAAGUGAACUCUUGAGAGCUGAACUUUUAUGUUCUGUUUGGUUUCUGGGAAAACAAGAAAAUUGGAGAAGGCAGAAUAUUUUCUAUGUUUGUGAAAUGAGAAUACCAGAAACUCAGUUUUCUUAGCAACCAAACACAAACCCACAAACAUAAAACCAGAAAGAAACCAACUCUAUUAAUAACCAAAUAGAAACCAGAAUAUUCUUAGCUACACCUAGCACAAAUCAUUUACUAUACUACAAAACCAGUCUCCCUAAAGACACUGCAAUGGCUUCUUUCUUUAUAAGAAACAAAGAAUAGAAUCAGAAAAGCAAACCUUUUGCUGAACAUCUGAUCCAAAAGUGAACUGGGUUUUUUUACUUGAGUUGAGGAAUGAGGAACUGUAUCAAGAAACAGAAGAAAAAAAAUAUAUAGAAAAGCAACCACUGAGAAAGAAACUGCAAGAAACAUAGAAAAGUUGUCUGCUGGGACUUGAUUGUUUGAGU